GUGGGGAAUAUUGGACAAUGGGGGGAACCCUGAUCCAGCCAUGCCGCGUGUGUGAAGAAGGCCUUUUGGUUGUAAAGCACUUUAAGCGAGGAGGAGGCUACCGAGAUUAAUACUCUUGGAUAGUGGACGUUACUCGCAGAAUAAGCACCGGCUAACUCUGUGCCAGCAGCCGCGGUAAUACAGAGGGUGCAAGCGUUAAUCGGAUUUACUGGGCGUAAAGCGCGCGUAGGUGGCCAAUUAAGUCAAAUGUGAAAUCCCCGAGCUUAACUUGGGAAUUGCAGUCGAUACUGGUUGGCUAGAGUAUGAGAUAGGAUGGUAGAAUUCCAGGUGUAGCGGUGAAAUGCGUAGAGAUCUGGAGGAAUACCGAUGGCGAAGUCAGCCAUCUGGCCUAAUACUGACACUGAGGUGCGAAAGCAUGGGGAGCAAACAGGAUUAGAAACCCUAGUAGUCC
rnacentral:rRNA from 1 species